GGGUCAGUAGGUUGGUCGUGCCACCGGUACGUACUGGUCUCACUGGUUCCUCCUUCCUGAAGAACCGUAAUGCCAUUAAUUUGGUGUUGCGGGGAAACAGGACUGUUACUUUGAAAAAAUUAGAGUGUUUAAAGCAAGCUAACGCUUGAAUACGUUAGCAUGGAAUAAUGAAAUAGGACGAUCGAUCCUAUUUUGUUGGUUUCUAGGAUUGACGUA
rnacentral:rRNA from 1 species